UGUGAUCACACCACUGUACUCCAGCCUGGGUGACAGAGUGAGACUGUCAAAAAACAAAAAAUGUGACCAGCUGCAUGCCUGGCUGCUGUGUGUGUGAACCCAUGUGUGUGCUUGUGUGUCUAAAUGAGCAGUGGUAUCUGGAGGAAUAAGUGGGGCAAGAUCAAGCCUGUUCUGGCUGCUUAGGGCCACAAUGGCCCCUCAGAGACUGCCUCUGUGGCCCCCUGUGAGUCCUCAUGACCUCUGUUAACCAGGCAGCCCAGGAGGCAGUGCCGCCGGCAGACAUCAUAUUCUCAGUGAAGAGUCCACCGAGUGCCAGCUGCGUGGUGAUGGUGUCUCGUGGCAUCUUGGCAGAUGAGCCACCCAGCCUGGACCCCGUGCAGAGCUUCUCCCAGGAGGCAGUGGACGCGGGCAGAGUCCUGUACCUGCAAUCCCGCCCUGAGGCCUGGAGCGAUGCCUUCUCGCUGGAUGUGCCCUCAGGCCUGGGUGCUCCCCUCAAGGGCGUCCACGUGGAGCUGGAGGUGCUGCCCGCUGCCAUCCCACUGGAGGUGCAAAACUUCAGUGUCCCCAUGGGUGGCAGCCUCACCCUGGCCCCUCCACUGCUCCGUGUCACCGGGCCCUACUUCCCCAGUCUCCCAGGCCUCAGCCUGCAGGUGCUGGAGCCACCCUGGCAUGGGGCCCUGCAGAAGGAGGACGGACCUCAAGCCAGGACCCUCAGCGCCUUCUCCUGGAGAGAGGUGGAAGAGCAGCUGAUCCGCUACGUGCACGACAGGAGCGAGACACUGACAGACAGUUUUGUCCUGAUGACUGACACCUCCGAGAUGGACCACCAGAGCCAUCCUGUGGCCUUCACUGUCACCGUCCUGCCUGUCAAUGACCAACCCCCCGUCCUCACUACAAACACAGGCCUGCAGGUGAGAGUAUUCCCGGCACCAUCCCCCAUGUCUGCUUCGAGAAAGAGGCCAGCGUCCCCUACUUCCCAGCACAGAGCUCCCCCUGUCUGAGCCUCAGUUUCCUCCUCUGCAAAAUGGGGACGCUGCCGCAUGCCUCACGGGGUUGUUGGAAGGAGAGUUGUGAGAUUGUGCUGAAACGAAACACAGGUGGGAGGUUUUGUCAUGGACACUUGCAGGUAAGUUAGGCAGACUUCUGAGCGGCCACGGGUGGCUCUGCUGUUCCUUCUCCUGUGGCUCAGGACCAGAACUCCCGACAGAAUCACUUACAAGCCCGUAAGGGCAGGUGUCAGGGCAGGAGCCAAUAAGCUUCUCACCUUCACCCCAGCAAGUAAAGGCCGUGGCUUGGCUCCCCAAACUCCUGCCCCUUGUGCCACAGCAGAGCAGGGCCCCCAUUUGGCAGAGGUGGAAGUUGAGGCCCAGACAUGGGGUGGAACUUCUCUAUGGUUGUGAAAGUAGUUCUGGUAGAACAGAAAGGGCAUGGCUUCACUAAGCCCACAUGGCAGGGCUUUGAAUGCCGGCUUCUGGGGUGCGUCCUCCUGGGUCAGCAAGAGUCACUGAAGGUUCCACAGGAGAGCUGACUUGGGCUGUCUCUGACAUGGGGCGCUGAGGGGGGCUUUGGUAGUCUAGGAUGUGCCCAUAGAGGGUGGCCUCAUGGUGCAGAGACCACAGGCCCCUGGAACCACAAGCCAGGACAGCUGUGUGUCAGUAUGGCCUCCAGGUGGUGCCAUCCACCCGUGUUUGGUCUGGGAGCCCAGCAAUGGGGCCCUGUCCCCCACAUUAUGGCCCCUUCUGCCAAGACUCAGCCUGAGGGCUCCCCGGGGCCAGGGAAGGAAGCCCAAGAAUGCCAGAAAGCUCUGUUUCCCGGGCAUGUGAGUCCCACUGCAGCUCUGCCCACAAGUAAUUGACGCACCAAGACUGGUACCAGGACCUCAGGAACAGGCGCCUGCUCUGCUUGCAAGUGGGAGGCCUGAAAAAGGGUCCCCUUCGCCCAACAUGAGGAGGGCCCGUAACUGCUCUGGAAGCACCUGGGCCCAUCGCAGCGCUGAUUCUGUGCUGCAGAACAUACCAACCAUCAGCCCCCCACUCUCCGCGCCACCCACCCCUCCCUCAGCCGGAGGGAGGGCCCGUUUCUAAAAUCACCAUUCCCACCUGUGCCCCACCCUGGCCAGGCACACAUGGAGGCUCUGAAAGGAGACCCCUGCCCCACCAGUGAGACAGAUUAAGGAGCACUGUUGGUCAACGUUGGAGAUUUCUGGGGGUGAGAACUUGGUGAGGGUAAGAACUGGGGCCUUCCUGGGUAGGGGACACAAGCUGGCCUUGAGGGACACGCAGGACUAGGGCAGAUGGAGAGCAAGGAAGCUGGGCCUGGAGGGUGACCUUCCUUGGGGCCUUCCUUGGGGUGACAGGGAAGGUGAAUGUGGGGAGGGCCCUUUGUGCAGGGGAGCCAGAGCAGUGCCAGCCUCGAUGCCACCUGAGGGCCUGAGCCGCAGCAGGAUUGGAACCCUGGUGGCAGCCCAGGGCUGGGGAGGAAGGGGUGGGUGAGCAGGGCAAGGCAGAACCUUCACAGGCCUGUGUCCCCAGAUGUGGGAGGGGGCCACUGUGCCCAUCCCUGCGGAGGCCCUGAGGAGCAUGGACAGUUACUCUGGGCCCCUGAGCAUCUGGUUUACGCCAUUGAGCAGCCCAGCAAAGGGCGGGUAGUGCUGUGGGCAGCGCCGGGCACCGAGGUGCGCAGCUUCAUGCAGGCCCAGCUGGGCGGUGGGCUCGUGCUGUUCUCACACAGAGGUGGGUGCUGAUGGCCAGGCCCUGGGUUCCUGCUGCCUGCAGGGGUGCCCUGAGAUGGGGAGCCAGCUCGGGCCAGCCGGACCCAAUGACUCUGUCUUCAGGAGCCCUGGACGGAGGCAUCCACUUCGGCUUCUCUGAUGACAAGCACACUUCCUCCAGACACUUCUUCCCAGUGAUGGCCCAGAAGCAAGUGCUCCUCUCGCUGGAGGGCAGCCAGACGCUGACUGUCUGGCUGGACGGGUGUGCUGAUUGUGGGCAUUCCGGGGUGUGCCAGGAGCUGGGGCAGAGCUGAGGGUGGCACGCCAGGGUCACGCUGCCUCUCUGGAGAGACAGGCCUGUGCCUGGAUUUCAAAGGGUGAUGGCCCCUUUUGCAUCUGGAAGGGUCCGUCCAGCCACUCAGCAGCCAGAGCCUCAGAGCCAGCUCCAGCGCAGACACCAACUCCUAGCUUCUGCUCUAUGGUGUGGUCCCGGGCCCCCAGCCGGGCCGGCUGUUCCAUGCCCAGCAGGACAGCAUAGGGGAGGACAUGGUGAACUUCACUCAGGCAGAGGCAGAACAGGAGUUGUUCCAUAGCAGGGCAGAGUGGCGCAGACCCUUCCGUGGGCCUUCCUGGGCAGGUGGUGCAACUGAUGCCCCUGCCAGGAAGCUGCAUGGGCAUCUGGAUCCAGCACAUGAUCACAGUGAGUUCUGAGUAGGGAGCGGUCUGGUGGGGCGCAGAGCUGACUCUGUCACUCAGGAGCCAUGGCAGGCAGUACUGCCCCAAGUACCUCCAGAGGGGUCUGGCUGGCUGGUCCCCCCGCCAGCCCUUGAAAAUGGCACAGCCCACCCCAGCCCCCUUUCUAAGCUCCCUUGCUUGGGCAGGGACCUCCUGAGCCUGGCACUCUCCCUCCUGAGAGGCGCAGAUGGUAUUCAGGAAAUGCAAAGCAGAGGUUUCUUGGGCCUCUCACAUCAACACCUCCCAGUCCCAGGUUCUGUAUUUCCCUGGAGCCCCACUCCUGCUAUGGCCCCCUCCCCACAAUGAGAUAUUCAUCAGGCUGGUGUCUACAGCUGCUGUGUACCCUCGGUUGCUGGGAGCCUUUGUCAAGAAUGCACAGGAAUGGGGAGGGCACGGGACCCAGCCAUCAGCAACCCUCGCGCACUCUAUAGUCCCACGUUACUCAGAGCUUCCCCGUGCCCCAGCAAUACGAAGGACUAGACUGAAUGGGCACCAGGGUACCAGGCUGGCAGUGCCACAAUGGUAAGUGGGGAAGAGGCUACAUGGGCUAUCUGGCCCACUCAGGGAGGAGGGCAGGACUGGGGAUUGUCUUGACAGCAGCCCUGUCCCACAACACUGAACUGGGCAGGGAAGGGGUCAGAUGUUCCCCUGACAUGGGAGUGGAUUCCAGAGCAUCGGACCUGGCUGCCAGAACUGGCCCUCUCCUUCCAAGGCACUGGGACCAUGGAUGCCGGAGCCACGUAUGGCUGAGGGCUGGUGGAGCCUGCCCCCCAGGGAGCGCUGACUCCCGGAGGUGGUCGUUUUUGGGGAGGGGGCUAUGGGGCUCGUCCCACCUGCCCCCUUCUUUCCAGCAUGUACAUGGCACUUCCCUCUAUUUUCACUCUUGGUGGCCGCCCCACACAUUGCAUUCCUCCUCCUCCUCGCUGUCCUCCAUCCUCCAUUCCCUCCAACUCCUCUCCCAGCCCCUGGGGAGCCUACCUCAGGUCAGAGAGUCUGAACCCUGAGAUAUGCUGGGUGUGUGGAUUUCCUUCAGCUACCCUGAUGUUCCCACUUCCAAGUCCUGACUCCUUUGAGCCAUCCCAGGGGGUGUCCAGCCACUGGACCACAGGAGCAGAGACCAGGCUGUGACUGUGUGACCAUCAAGGUUUGUGAUGUGUGUGACACAUCACAUGAGUGUGAGAAUGUGAGAAUGGCACCAAGCCUGGGCUAGGACAGAAGCAGCUGGGGAAGGAGCCUGGGGGCCAUGAGCAAUCUGAUUUUUUAUCCACCUCCCCCCCCGCCACCUUAUCCAGUCUAAACCAAUGUGGUAGGGGUGGCUGCUGGGGAAGGGAUGGGAGUGUCUGAAGCCCACUUCAUUCCCAAAGAUUUCUAAGGAAAAGCAUUCUACAUCCUCUGGCUUGGUCUUGUUGACCCAUGGCCCUCUUUCAAGGACAUUCACUCUGAUUCCCAGUGUGCCCUGUUUCCACUGGCCACGUUCUCUAAGGAAGAACAAUAGUAUCUGUUUUUGUUUCCAAAUGGCUGGAGAGUGGGGCUGUGGGUCCAGCGCCCAUAAACCAAAAUGAGGCAGGGAUUGGGGCUUGCCCUAGGAUGUGGUAAUGACCAACGGAGAUGGGUAGAGGCAAGCAGCAUGGUAUUGGGCAAGAGCACUGGACUGGGAGUCUAGAGAUGCUGCUUCACCCUGGGACUUCAGGCAAGUCCCUUUCCCUCCCAGAGCCUCAGCGUCCUUUCUAUCAAAUGAUUUCUUUCUGCCUUUCUCCCAGGGUGGCUGUGGGGAUCAAGGGAGACAGUGGUCAUAGGGAUACUGUGUUAACUGUAGAUGUGGCCAUAGGAGCACUUUGCUAACUACCAACAUGAGUUCAGACUCUUCAGGGUAUUUGGAACCUAGGUCUGUGGUGAGGUGUGACAUAUGGGAUGUAAGGUUUGAUGUCUGCUCCAACUCUAGUCUUGCUAACACAUGUGAAACAUUUGGCAAGUCAUGAUCCUGCCUUGGGGAAAAGGGCAGUCUGGGAGAGAGCUUCUUCAAGGCAGCCUGGCUUCAAUGCAGUCCAGGGCAUGACUGAGAUAGGCUUAUGUGAUGAGGAAUUGGAGGGUAUCUGGUAAAGAGCUGCAGUGUGGGCAGAGGUUUAGUGUGGGACUCACUGAGGACACCCACUGGCCAAAGCAGGGAACAGAGACAGAAAGAGAAAGAGCUCUGUGGGGAGGGUGGGGCAUAGGGUGGAGAACUUCAAAGUCCGAAGAGUAUGACUUGUUGGGGCUCAAUGCUGUAGGCAGUAGGGAGCCAUGGAAGGCUCUUAGGUAGAGAAAUGGCAGCUGAACAUUAGCGAGCAAGCGCUGUCUCCGUGAGCAGCAUGGAUGGUCCUCUGAGCAUGCCAGCAUGAGUGUGCAGGGAGCUGGUGCAAAUGCCUCUGUGUGUGGGUGAGCUUCUGUGUUGUGACUCUGCCCAUGUGUGUGCUUCAGUGUGCCGAGUGGCUGCACACCCCAGAUCUGUGCUGCACGUGCCAGCCAGUGAGGGUGCUGGGCACUGGGAGGUGGCAGGGAAGGAGGCGUAUGCGUGUUGUGGGCAUGUGUGUUAGUGUGUGCAUGCCAACAGUGGGGCCUCACAGCAUGUGUGUGCACACCCCGGCAAGUGCAUGUGUGUGUCCCCCAACCCCAGGCCUGCCCCACCCAUGCAUAUGAGCUGCCAUGUUGAUUUGAUGCUGUCUUUCAGAAUCACUAUCAGUGGCCCCUGAGGAGCAUCAGCCGUGGUAGGUACAUGCCUCGCCACCUGCUACAUGAAUGGUGUUCCCGCCCCACUGCACCAGCUCCACAGGGGGGCACACCUGGGACCUCAGAUCCAGGCUCCCUGCCCCUCCUUUCUGGAGCUGCAGAUUUGCUCUUUCCUCUUUCUGUCCUCGUGCUGUGGCUCUCUCACCUCCCUUCCCUGUGAGCCAUGGGACUCAGC